GUACGGGAGGCAGCAGUCGAGAAUUUUUCACAAUGGGCGCAAGCCUGAUGGAGCGACGCCGCGUGGGGGAUGAAUGGCUUCGGCCCGUAAACCCCUGUCAUUCGCGAUCAAACGUUAUUAUUUAAAAGAUGAUGACCUGAUAGUAGCGGAAGAGGAAGGGACGGCUAACUCUGUGCCAGCAGCCGCGGUAAUACAGAGGUCCCGAGCGUUGUUCGGAUUCACUGGGCGUAAAGGGUGCGUAGGUGGUGAGGUAAGUCGGAUGUGAAAGCUCGGAGCUCAACUCCGAAAUGGCAUUGGAAACUACCUUGCUGGAGGGUUGGAGGGGGGACUGGAAUACUUGGUGUAGCAGUGAAAUGCGUAGAUAUCAAGUGGAACACCAGUGGCGAAGGCGAGUCCCUGGACAACACCUGACACUGAGGCACGAAAGCUAGGGGAGCAAACAGGAUUAGAUACCCCGGUAGG
rnacentral:rRNA from 1 species